GCAAUCGCAUAUACUUACUAACCAUCACAUUGGCUACGUUUUUAUUCAUCGUCAAUUAAAAGAACAUUUCAAUAUUUGACGUAAUACGGUAACAUUUAUUUCUGUAAAAUAUUGUGUAACGAUUGGUAGAAAAUUAUCGUUCUAGAAAUUAUAAUCGGUUAUGUUUUGGUAUUAUACUCUGAAAAAUCAUACAUAGACAUAUCAUAGAUAUCGCGUUUAAUCAUUAUUAUUAUAUUCCUUCAUUAGAUAAUUAAAAUUUACACAAUUGUACCGAAUUUUAAGGAUAGGGUGUAUUCACAAUAAACUGAAAGAACAAUAAAUUGGAUGUCAUUUUAUAUAAUUGCUUGACCAGAACCAAAUAAUAAAUAUACUAUACAUCCUAAUGCAUCUAUUAUAGCAAUGAAUAUAAAUACAACAGGCCAGCUGUGCGUUACAUGUAAUAUAUAUCCAGAAAAGUAUAGCACCAACAGUGUUCAUUAAUCCAAAUACACUUCCGGAAUGUUUUGGUGCAAGAUCUGAAGGAUUUACUGCAAUUGCAUUAUUAUGAAAACCUGACCCGCCAAUUAUAAACGCAAGACAAAUUAUUGCACUUUGAAAAGUUUCCACUUUUGCUGAAAUUGUUUUAAAAUCAAUUUCUCUAUUUAAUUUUUUCAUAUAUUAUUAUACAUACCUAUACUUACCUAAAAAUAAUAAGCUUAUAAUUUCAGUUAAAAAACAUAUUGUUUCGAUUA